AUGGUUUUUCCUUCCUUCCUUCCUUCCUUCCUUCCUUCCUUCCUUCCUUCCUUCCUUCCUUCCUUCCUUCCUUCCUUCCUUCCUUCCUUCCUUCCUUCCUUCCUUCCUUCCUUCCUUCCUUCCUUCCUUCCUUCCUUCCUUCCUUCCUUCCUUUCUUUCUUCCAAUCUUUCUUCCUUUCUUUCUUUCUUUCUUCCUUUCUUUCCUUCCUUUCCUUUCUUUCUUUCUUUCUUUCUUUCUUUCUUUCUUUCUUCCUUCCUUUCUUUUUUUCUUCCCUCCUUCCUUCCUUCCCUCCUUCCUUUCCUUCCCUCCCUUCCUUUCCUUCCUUCCUUCCUUCCUUCCUUCCUUCCUUCCCUUCCUUCCUUCCUUCCUUCCUUCUUUCCUUCCUUCCUUCCUUCCUUCCUUCCUUUCUUCCUUCCUUCCUUUCUUCCUUCCUUCCUUUCUUCCUUUCUUCCUUUCUUUCUUCCUUUCUUUCUUUCUUCCUUCCUUUCUUUCCCUUCCCUUUCUUUCUUUCUUUCUUUCUUUCUUUCUUUCUUUCUUUCUUUCUUUCUUUCUUUCUUUCUUUCUUUCUUUCUUUCUUUCUUUCUUUCUUUCUUUCUUUCUUUCUCAAACUUUUACCCUCUGUCUUAAAAUGGAUACUAAGAAUAGGUUUCAAGACAGAAGAGU
rnacentral:lncRNA from 1 species